rnacentral:sRNA from 1 species
AGUGAACUGCGUUUGCAGUGGAAAUCCUUUUGCUUUUUUCUUUAGAAAGCAAAAGAUUGAAACGUAUAGCAGGAUAUGUG